rnacentral:tRNA from 1 species
CAGGGAGACAACAACUGAUCGUGAUGUCUAAGUUAUUUAUUCUUAGGCCAUGAUCCUGUCACUUUAGGUCGAUCGGUACCUCAAAUUAAGUAAAUACAGUGCAAAUUUAAGCACUUGAUUGAUCUUCAAUUUCAGUUCCUAAACUUGUCUAGGUCACACCCAACAAAGGGUACUCCUGGGCCAUUAGCUCAGGUGGUUAGAGCGCACCCCUGAUAAGGGUGAGGUCCCUGGUUUAAGUCCAGGAUGGCCCAUUCGGUGUUGGGGGUAUAGCUCAGUUGGUAGAGCGCCUGCUUUGCAAGCAGGAUGUCAGCGGUUCGAGUCCGCUUACCUCCACUGAUCCAACUCCUGACAACGAGGUCAUAGGAGAUUUUCGUUGUUUAAUGUGUGAUUUAGACGUUGUUUUAUCUGAAUUUGACCCUAGCUUCCUUUCAUCAAUUAUCUAGAUAUAAAUGUUUUUGCUUAGAUGAUUUGUUGGCAGGACGCUGGGCUCACUGAAAUUUUAUUUUUAUAAACUUUCAGAGAACCUCAGUAGAACCUUGACAACUGCAUAGAUAAGUCUGGAAAGAAUAAAGCAUCUCAUGGAUGCAGUAUUUUAUUAAUUAAACCUAAUCAAAUUAGGUUUAAGUCAAAUAUAAUAUUGUUUAAUUCUUGAGUUAGAGCUGAGACUCUAAGCUUUAAUUAAAGUGAAAAAUCCUAUUUGGGAUAAGCUUGAAAACUUAUACUGAAUUAGGUUUUUAACUCUUUAAAUUAAAUAGCUUAGAGAUUGAAUU